UACGAAGGGGGCUAGCGUUGUUCGGAAUUACUGGGCGUAAAGCGCGCGUAGGCGGUGAUCUUUGUCAGAGGUGAAAGCCCGGGGCUCAACUCCGGAAUUGCCUUUGAAACGGGAUCGCUUGAGUCCGAGAGAGGAUGGCGGAAUUCCUAGUGUAGAGGUGAAAUUCGUAGAUAUUAGGAAGAACACCGGUGGCGUAGGCGGCCAUCUGGCUCGGUACUGACGCUCAGGCGCGAAAGCGUGGGGAGCAAACAGG
rnacentral:rRNA from 1 species